rnacentral:rRNA from 1 species
CCUACGGUGUGCUGCAGUGGGGAAUAUUGGACAAUGGGCGAAAGCCUGAUCCAGCCAUGCCGCGUGUGUGAAGAAGGCCUUCGGGUUGUAAAGCACUUUCAGUGGGGAAGAAAGCCUUGGGGCUAAUACCCUCGAGGAAGGACAUCACCCACAGAAGAAGCACCGGCUAACUCCGUGCCAGCAGCCGCGGUAAUACGGAGGGUGCGAGCGUUAAUCGGAAUUACUGGGCGUAAAGCGCGCGUAGGCGGUCUGAUAAGCCGGUUGUGAAAGCCCCGGGCUCAACCUGGGAACGGCAUCCGGAACUGUCAGGCUAGAGUGCAGGAGAGGAAGGUAGAAUUCCCGGUGUAGCGGUGAAAUGCGUAGAGAUCGGGAGGAAUACCAGUGGCGAAGGCGGCCUUCUGGACUGACACUGACGCUGAGGUGCGAAAGCGUGGGUAGCAAACAGGAUUAGAUACCCUUGUAGUC